UUUGAGAGCGGCACACCGGAGUAGCAGUGAAGUUGAUGUUGUUGUCAUUUUCUGCUCCAGCUUCUCUUCUGUCCUGCUCCCCCUCCCCGGCUCUGGGAGCGUGGUGCUGGGGAGGAGAGUGUCCCACGCCGGUGGACUUGCCUGGGUGGAUACUUUAGUCUCACCGGGCAACUUUGGUUUUCCGACAUUUUUACAGCAAGGCGAGCUAACGCGGCUAGCCGAGCAGCGAUGGAGUGGCGGAGCAACAACGCCGACGCUGAGCCUCCUUGGCCGGCCUCGGGCGGUGGAAGUGUGGCCCCCACCCCGCAGACUUCACCGUGUGCCUGCGCCACGCCGUCCGUCUGCCAGAGCCCGCAGUGCUGCGUGAAGACCCCCGUCGUGUCCAGCUGGAUGCUGGCCGAAGUCCAGGACCGCCUGUGCUCUCUGAGCGUCCACUGCUCCGAGUCCCUGGAGCAGGAGCGCGCACGUACCCGGGCCUGCCCCGCCGAGCUGAUCAACACCGAGGAGGAGUGGCGGCGCAAAGAGAGCAUGCUGGGAGGAGGUCCGCAACCUGGUCGCGGACCCGUGCUGGAAGCCGUCGGGAGUUGGGACGUUUUCGAUAAGAGUAUCAUCAACGUCCAAAAUCAGCCUGCAGAAGCGGACGGCUGCGGGAAGUCGCUACAAAAGGAUGAGGAAGAGCUUCAGCACUUCGGCAUGUUGCGGCGAUGGGACGACAGUCAGCGGUUCCUGGCGGAGAAGCCUCAGCUCAUCUGCGAAGAGACGGCCAACUACCUAUUUUUGUGGUGCAUCCGACUCCAGCAGGAAGGGAAAGAGGCGCUGAUGGAGCAGGUGGCGCACCAGGCCGUCGCCAUGCAGUUCAUCCUGGAGAUGGCGUCCAACUCCGGGCAGGACCCCCGAGGCUGCUUCCGGCAGUUCUUCCAAAAAGCCAAAGAAGGACAAGACGUCUACUUGGAUGUCUUCCACGCCGAGCUGGAGGCCUUGAAGCGGCGAGUGCGGCAGCACGUGGACAGGUGUGACAGGGACAGCUGCAAUGAGCCCAGCAACGGCACCAACUGCAGACACGCCCCCAAAGAAGCCCAGCAGGUGGCGCACUCCCCCAGCAGGCGUCCCUGCGGGCCGUUGAUCGGCUCGGUGCGGUGGAGCAAGGACGAGGCGGCAGAGAGUGAAGACACGGCGCGCAUGAUGGAGACUUCCUAGGAGACUCACCGUGUCGGAACACACCUUGUAAUAAAAGGAAGCACUUUAGUCACGUCUCUAAUGCAGCCCUCCAUCUUCAUCAUCAACAUCAUCAUCAUCGGGUGUUUUUGGCCGGUGUGCCAGAUUGCUCAGGCUUCCAUGUCUCUCUCCCUCGCCUUGAUUUAAUAAACCCAUGGGCCGUGGAAUGAAAUCAGGUGCGUUCAAUGACACUGUGCAAGAAACAGACUUGUGGCUUUUUUUUGCCUCCUAUGAGAAAAGUCCUUUAUUAAAAUUACACUGGCACCAA